GAUGAACGCUGGCGGCGUGCUUAACACAUGCAAGUCGAACGAAGCAGUCAUUAAGAAGCAUUUCGGUGCAGAUUGAUGACUGACUGAGUGGCGGACGGGUGAGUAACGCGUGGAUAACCUGCCUCAUACAGGGGGAUAACAGUUAGAAAUGACUGCUAAUACCGCAUAAGCGCACAGAAUCGCAUGAUUCAGUGUGAAAAACUCCGGUGGUAUGAGAUGGAUCCGCGUCUGAUUAGCUAGUUGGAGGGGUAACGGCCCACCAAGGCAACGAUCAGUAGCCGGCCUGAGAGGGCGACCGGCCACAUUGGGACUGAGACACGGCCCAAACUCCUACGGGAGGCAGCAGUGGGGAAUAUUGCACAAUGGGGGAAACCCUGAUGCAGCGACGCCGCGUGAAGGAAGAAGUAUCUCGGUAUGUAAACUUCUAUCAGCAGGGAAGAAAGCGUGAGUAAUCACGCCUGACGGUACCUGACUAAGAAGCCCCGGCUAAUUACGUGCCAGCAGCCGCAGUAAAAC
rnacentral:rRNA from 1 species